rfam:Limnoraphis robusta CS-951 contig060, whole genome shotgun sequence.
AGAGCAAGUCAGCCUAAUCUCUCAUUAUCUUCUCAGCAUUGCGCCUGGGAACAAUGGGGAGCGGAGGAACCACUUUUUGGGGCUUAUCUUUGACUCCCGAUGAGUCAAGAAGGAUAUCUCUCAAUCCUAGCCCGUCAGCUAACUCCGUAGGCAUUGAGGGGAGACUGA